UACGUAGGGUGCAAGCGUUGUCCGGAAUUAUUGGGCGUAAAGAGCUCGUAGGCGGUCUGUCGCGUCGAAUGUGAAAACCCGGGGCUCAACCCCGGGCCUGCAGCCGAUACGGGCAGGCUAGAGUUCGGUAGGGGAGACUGGAAUUCCUGGUGUAGCGGUGAAAUGCGCAGAUAUCAGGAGGAACACCGGUGGCGAAGGCGGGUCUCUGGGCCGAUACUGACGCUGAGGAGCGAAAGCGUGGGGAGCGAACAGG
rnacentral:rRNA from 1 species